rnacentral:rRNA from 1 species
GUGCCAGCAGCCGCGGCUGACACAGAGACCACGAGCAUUNUCCGGUUUCACUGGGCGUAAAGCGUUCCGAUAGGUUGUUUAGUGCGUCUAUAAGUUAAAAACCGCAGCUCAACUGCGUGUUCGCUUUAGAAACUGCUAAACUAGAGAAGUCAAGAGGUAGCUGGAACUCUACAAGUAGGGGUGAAAUCCAUUGAUAUGUAGGGGAACACCAAAAGCGAAGGCAAGCUACUGGGGACUUUCUGACACUGCUAGGACGAAAGCGUGGGGAGCGAUACGGAUUAGAUACCCGUGUAGUCCACGCCCUAAACGAUGAGUGUUUGCUAUUGGGUCAAAUCAAUCUGACUCAGUGGCGAAAGGUAACCCUUUAAACACUCCGCCUGUAUAGUACGGCCGCAAGGCUAAAACUCAAAGGAAUUGACGG